rnacentral:misc_RNA from 1 species
AAGUCGUAACAAGGUUUCCGUAGGUGAACCUGCGGAAGGAUCAUUAACACGUAUCCAACGUUAAACAACCCCGUGAACCUUCAGCCUGCUCUCGUAGCCCACGCGGCAACAGCAAUCCCGGUAAAUCAUUGACGACCAGUUUUGAUUCGGGACCUCUGUUACGAUGUGAGAAGUUACAGUUACGAUCGAGCGGUAGAGUCAGUGGCACGGCGUUGAGUAAAAAAAAACCGAACAACUGUUAACAAUGGAUAUCUUGGUUCUC